GAAAAUGCAUUAUUUUGUGGAGUAAUAUAAAAAGCAAAAGAAACACCAAAACAAAGCGUAGGAGAAGGAAGGACAAAUACAUCAAAAAGAGAAGAAAAGAACAAAGUAGGAACAAAAAAGAAGAGACAAAACCACCAAAAAUACAGAAAUGAUAAUCAUAUUUAGAAUCUCUUAAAGUCUACCAUCUUAUGUUUGCUUGCUGGAUAUGACAUUUAGUAGUUAAGAAAUAUAUGUGUGAUAGGGUGGUGGUGGAAAUUCCUUAUACUGUUGGAUGGAGUGGUAUGGUUAUAGAAUGCAAGAGGAUCUAGUAACGAUACUAAUCAGGAAGGCAUGGGCUUGAUUUUGUGAAGUAGUGAGUGUAUUGAUAUCUUAAAGUAGUAGUAGUUGAGUGGGAUAAGGAU
rnacentral:lncRNA from 1 species